AAUCUAUCACAAUCCACAACCACGUGAACCAUUCUGUUGGCCCUUGAACAGGCACGUGUUGCCUGUUUAGGCUAGGGGUAUGUGUCACAUUGUACGGCAGCACAACUGUGUGUGCCGUACAAUGCAAGCAUAUUCCCUGGGCCGUUGCCUAUUUAGGCAACGUCGGUCUUUGCCAACCAACCAACACCAAACCAAACUAAAACCAAAACCCGAGCGCUCAGCUUAGAGCUGACGCUCACCAACCAAGACAACUCUCAACAACGGAUAUCUUGGCUCUCAGAUCGAUGAAGAACGCAGCGAAAUGCGAUACGUAGUGUGAAUUGCAGAAAUACGUGAAUCAUCGAAUCUUUGAACGCAUAUUGCGCUCGAGGCUUCGGCCAAGAGCAUGUCUGCCUCAGCGUCGGGUUAAUACUCGCUCCCUCCAACUCCGGUUGGUUAGGGAACGGAACUGGCUGUCUCGGCAGUAACCUAACCGUUAACUGCCGGGUCAGCUGAAGUGUGCAGAGGUUGAUGCAUGGACCCGCUCAUGGGCCUCUACUGGGUAGGCAAUUAACUUUGCUAAUGCUUUAGUAGAUGGCUUGGGACUGUGCCUGUCGGCCCAAACCAGGAACUCAGUUUACGGACUGAGCAACUGUACCUAUUUUCGACCUGAGCUCAGGCAAGA
rnacentral:sRNA from 1 species